rnacentral:rRNA from 1 species
GCUCCAAUAGCGUAUAUUUAAGUUGUUGCAGUUAAAAAGCUCGUAGUUGGAUUUCGGUUGAGAACGGCCGGUCCGCCGUUUGGUGUGCACUGGCUGGUUUCAACUUCCUGUAGAGGACGCGCUCUGGCUUCACGGCUGGACGCGGAGUCUACGUGGUUACUUUGAAAAAAUUAGAGUGUUCAAGCGGGCUUACGCUUGAA